CCGCCGGCACCGGCGCACGGGUGAGUAACACGUAUGCAACCUGGCCGUGACAGAUGGAUAACCGGGAGAAAUCCCGCCUAAUACAACAUAAUGCCGGGAGGGGACAUCCCCUGCCGGCCAAAGGGGCGACCCCGGUCACGGAUGGGCAUGCGGCGCAUUAGGUAGUUGGUGGGGCAACGGCCCACCAAGCCGACGAUGCGUAGGGGUUCUGAGAGGAAGGUCCCCCACAUUGGAACUGAGACACGGUCCAAACUCCUACGGGAGGCAGCAG
rnacentral:rRNA from 1 species